CUUUUCAGGAGUGCUGGGCUUCCUCCCUGAAAAUAGUAAAAGCUUACAUUCAGAAAAAAUGAAAGGGAUCUCCUAAUGUCUUUCUGUUCAACUAGUCCUGAGCAAGGCUUGCAACUUCCCAGAUACAAUUUCUCUUGCUUUAGCUUGUCUGAAGUAGAAAAUCUAGCUUCAAAAGUCACAGAGCCACCAGCAUGCUGUAAGUCUGU